GACUUAAAAUCCGUUGGUUUUAUAGAUCGUGAGG
rnacentral:tRNA from 1 species